rnacentral:rRNA from 1 species
GACGAACGCUGGCGGCGUGCUUAACACAUGCAAGUCGAACGGGUCUGCCCUGUUUUUUGCGGGGUGGGUCAGUGGCGAACGGGUGAGUAACACGUGAGUAACCUGCCCCUCACUUCUGGAUAACCGCUUGAAAGGGUGGCUAAUACGGGGUGUUCUGGCUGUGCCGCAUGGUGUGGCUGGGAAAGAUUCACUUUUGUGGUGUUUUGGUGGGGGAUGGGCUCGCGGCCUAUCAGCUUGUUGGUGGGGUGAUGGCCUGCCAAGGCUUUGACGGGUAGCCGGCCUGAGGGGGUGGGCGGUCACACUGGGACUGAGAUACGGCCCAGACUCCGGCGGGAGGCAGCAGUGGGGGGUAUUGCACAAUGGGCGGAAGCCUGAUGCAGCGACGUCGCGUGAGGGAUGGAGGCCUUCGGGUUGUGAACCUUUUUCGCCGGUGAAGAAGGUCCUGCUCUUUGUGGUGGGGUUGACGGUAGCCGGGUUAUGAAGCGCCGGCUAACUACGUG